rnacentral:rRNA from 1 species
AACGAACGCUGGCGGCGCGCCUAAUACAUGCAAGUCGAGCGAGAAGACGUAGCAAUACGUUUGUAAAGCGGCGAACGGGUGAGGAAUACAUGGGUAACCUACCCUCGAGUGGGGAAUAACUAGCCGAAAGGUUAGCUAAUACCGCGUACGCUCCUUGGACUUCGGUUCAGGGAGGAAAGCGAUACCGUGGGUAUCGCGCUCUUGGAUGGGCUCAUGUCCUAUCAGCUUGUUGGUGAGGUAACGGCUCACCAAGGCUUCGACGGGUAGCUGGUCUGAGAGGACGAUCAGCCACACUGGCACUGCGACACGGGCCAGGACUCCUACGGGAGGCAGCAGUAAGGAAUAUUGCGCAAUGGGCGAAAGCCUGACGCAGCGACGCCGCGUGGGGGAUGGAAGGUCUUCGGAUUUGUAAACCCCUUUCGGGACGGGAAGAUGGAACGAGCAAUCGUUCGGACGGUACCUCCAGAAGCAGCCACGGCUAACUUCGUGCCAGCCGCCGCCGUAA